UAGCACACAUACAUGUGGCCGACGUCGGCCCCAGAGCGGAACGUCGGGCUCAUAUCUGUAACAUCUAAUAAGGAUCGGCCAGGCAUAGGCGCGUGUCUUCAGUCAGUGCUCUAUUUCCAGCUCGUCGGCUUUCCAGCUGCAGGCCGAUGCCGCGCUUAUCUGUUUGCGCGUGACCAUUCAUCUCUGCAACCGACGAGAGAAAUGGCGACUCCGGCGACAUCUGUGGUUUUCAGGAGUGAACAAAUCUACAACACCGGAGGGGAAAGAGCUGCUGACAGGAGUAACUUUUACUUUAGGAAACUCAGAUGAGAUGUGAUCCCCAGCAUUUGGCGCUGAGAUUCUUCAGGACAAAGGCCUUGAUGCCAUGAAGAUGCCCAUAACUGACAGGCUUUCCUGUGUAAACCAUCAUAUUUAUCCAAAUGAGGGUCUCUGGGAUCCCCAGCUGAAGGCAUGAAGACAUCAGAUGUUGGCCUGGACAGAUGUAUCAACAGUACACUACACCGACCUCUGCUUUUGCAUGGAUGGCUGAUUACUACCAUGUUCUGAGAGGGUAUUACUAUAGCAAAACUGAGCACCUGUGACACUGGGAUUUCCAGUUGUAAAGAAUAAUCACACAAUGUUUUUUAGAAGUUGCAAACUUUUCUCUCUCUUUCUCUCUUACAAACAACACAACAGCUAAAUCUUUUCAAAUUCUUUUCUGGUGGUGCACAAGUCCUAUUCUUUGAAACAGAAAUUAAGAGAUUCAUAUGCUCACAUUUAAGCUGCGGACACAUUACUUUGAGCAUGCAAAAUUUCUUCAGACACUGUAACUGGCGUGAUAUGACGUCUGUAGAGUCUUUUUAUAAACAUGAAUUCAACAUUUAACAAAUAGUAUAUUCAAAAUAUAAAAAUAUACAGUCUACUCGACUUUACUACAUUUUUUUUUUUAUUAAUUUAGCCAAGAGGUCACACCUACAUGUAGCAAUUUUGUACUCUUUACACAUAGUCGUGUGAUGUGAAUUCGCAGGUCAGAGUUCCAAACCAAACUUUUUGCAUGAGCUUGCAUUUCUGGUCUCCUGCAUUUGUGUGCAUAUGAAUGGAGGUCAAUGGAAUGAAAAGCGUGGUGUGACCGCACCUUUAUUCUACAGUUGCAGUACACCUGUAUCAAAAGUGUGAAGUCAUGGACAGAUUUUAUUUGUGAACUGAUAUGCGAGAUCUCGCAUAUGACACAUCAGUAUGUGACAUCCCACUCAAACACGUGCUCUAUCCAGUGAUAAACAUGUUCUUGUCGUUAUUAAUCAAUCAGUAAUCAACACAGCACCACCCCGAAAUUGCCUUGCACUGUAGAAUUAUGGUUUUGGCAAGAAAUGAAAAAUAGCCAAUUAUUUAUUAUAAAUGCUACUAUUUUACAAUUAAUAUUUAAGACUGUUAGAGAGGGAUAGAAGCCAUUUUUAUGGAUGAUAGGAUUUUUUCAUAACAGGUCAUUUAUUUGAAUGAUCAGCAAAAAUUUGAGCCUAUGAGUUUAAUAAUUUGAAUUCGUAGAAUAAGAUUAGUACAAAUUUAACUGUUGUGUUUGUGAGAGAGAAAAGAGAACUACAAGUUUGCAGAUCCUAAUACAUUUUCUCAGUGACUACUGAAAUAUUCUCUACAAAUUCCACUGUCACAGGUGCUCAGUUUUGCUACAAUAAUACUAUAUAUUAUACAGCACAUGCAUAAUUUGAGACAAUAUUCUGAUUAAAUUUCUAUUAUUCAUUUUGUGUAUAAUCAAUAUAUAAACAAGUGAUAUUUAAUUGUUAACGAGGGAUUGGCUGGACUCUGCUGACCCAAUCAGUAUUUCUCGUCCAAUGGUCAUACUUUAAUUUUCCGGUUUCUCUAGUAUUGCAUCCUUCUCAUGGGCAUUUCAUGACUUUUUAGUGUGGGUUAAACCUCUUUUUUGGCCCAUAAUAUGUAUUUUUUUUAAAAGUAAUUAAAAAUAGUUUUGUCUAUGCUAUUGAAAUUGUGGGUUACAUCUUUGUCACCUUUUUCACCCAAGGAGUUUACAUUCCUGAUAAUACAAGAGCGAGGAACUUACAUUUUAAUUACAAAGGAAAACCAAUUCAUCUGCUAUAUUCUUCUGUCCUCCAUUUUCAAGGGUAAGAUUUCUUUAUAAACCAUCUACCCACCCAUAUGUCUUUAUUUUUGUGGAACACAAAAGGAGAGAGUCACUUAGUCUCAGUCACCAUUAGAAAAGAAACUGAUAGUGAAUUGUGACUGAGGCUGUCAGUCUCUUGAUGUUCUGCCUUACAUCUCCUUUAGUGCUCCAAUAAAAAUAACAUGUUUGGUACAAAAGAACAUGACCAGUUUUGUUCAUGAGUAAAUAUUGCUUUUAAUUUUUUAACUUGAGACUGUUUAGCCUGUAAUUUUCUGUAUACCUUUGCGUGUAUCUGAAUGUAAAUGCCUUCUCUGUUAGUCAUAUUGACGGGUUGUAUAUAGGAGGAUGUAUGCCUUAAACAUGCAGGCUAUCUGUAACUGUAUUUUGUAAAUAUUAAAACAAUGUUAACUGAA